GAUGAAGAACGCAGCGAAAUGCGAAAAGUAAUGUGAAUUGCAGAAUUCAGUGAAUCAUCGAAUCUUUGAACGCACAUUGCGCCCGCCAGUAUUCUGGCGGGCAUGCCUGUCUGAGCGUCAUUUCAACCCUCACGCCCCUAGGGCGUGGUGUUGGGGAUCGGCCAAGGCCCGCAAGGGACGGCCGGCCCCUAAAUCUAGUGGCGGACCCAUCGUGGCCUCCCCUGCGAAGUAGUAAUAUAUUCCGCAUCGGAUAGCGAUGAGCCCCUGCCGUUAAACCCCCAACUCUUUCAAGGUUGACCUCAGAUCAGGUAGGAAUACCCGCUGAACUUAAGCAUAUCAUAAGCGGAGGA
rnacentral:misc_RNA from 1 species